UUAAUUUACUCUUUAAAUUUUAUUUCUAAUGGCAUACCUAUGUAAUUACUUACAAAAAUAAGGUUACAUUUAAAAUGUACUUCCCAAAUAAUAUAGUAGGAUUUUUUGUUUAUUUACUCAUGGGCAAGCUUUUAUAUUCUGGU
rnacentral:sRNA from 1 species